GACGAACGCUGGCGGCGUGCUUAACACAUGCAAGUCGAACGGAAAGGCCCUGCUUUUGUGGGGUGCUCGAGUGGCGAACGGGUGAGUAACACGUGAGUAACCUGCCCUUGACUUUGGGAUAACUUCAGGAAACUGGGGCUAAUACCGGAUAGGAGCUCCUGCUGCAUGGUGGGGGUUGGAAAGUUUCGGCGGGUGGGGAUGGACUCGCGGCUUAUCAGCUUGUUGGUGGGGUAGUGGCUUACCAAGGCUUUGACGGGUAGCCGGCCUGAGAGGGUGACCGGCCACAUUGGGACUGAGAUACGGCCCAGACUCCUACGGGAGGCAGCAGUGGGGAAUAUGGCACAAUGGGCGGAAGCCUGAUGCAGCAACGCCGCGUGCGUGAUGACGGCCUUCGGGUUGUAAACCGCUUUCGCCUGUGACGAAGCGUGAGUGACGGUAAUGGGUAAAGAAGCACCGGCUAACUACGUG
rnacentral:rRNA from 1 species